ACUCCCUCAGAAAGUUUGCUUGGCUACUCAUACGGAGUAGACGAUCUGCCAAUCCCAAUAUCAUAUGAUAAUGAUGAUAUUGAUGUCGGAUGAACUCCUGAAAGUCGCCUCGUCAUUGUACCCUUGAGCACUGACGGGCGUGAGCACUGAUGGUCGUGACGAUCUAUCCAGUUUACAAUUUCCCGAAAAGCGGGCCGAUUCAUAGCACAUGUGGUAUGGCAAUAUGAUAACUGAUAGUACUGCCGUCCAAUCCUUGAUGGAUGACUUACGACGACGUCUUACAAACCUACCAAGGUUUGACUGAUGCACGAUGUACGGAGUGUCUUGUCACUCAACCCGAGAAGCGUUAUGACGUCGAGUCGUCAAUCUAAAUACCAAUUAUCUUAAUCACCUCAUCCUUUACGUUGGCACGAAGGGAUUAGAUCCACAACUUGCUCAGUCGCUACUUGCUCGAUCAAUGACAUUGAUGCAACUGCUUGUACAGAAAUGUCCCGCGUUUCAGACAUGACAAGUUACAAGUUAGACACAAAGGAAUGUAGUUCGUGAGAUUUGCAUCCCAGGCGCUUCAUGAGUCAGAUGACUCUAUCUAGUUACGUAGUAAAGCGCUGCUCAAUACUUAAACAGUACCACGGAUAUGAGCGUUCCGUAAGAUCAUCAGUGCUUUGGUAGACCAACAACUGGAUCUUCAAUUCUGAUACGCUAGUAAUCCGUGCUAGCACUAUGAACAUGUACCAAUGAACUUAAUCUGCGAUUCGUGAGUUGAGGACACUAGAUGAUGAUUUUUCUUGUUUUCACAGAUGGUUUACGACUUAGUCUUUGUGGUAGAAAAACAAAAGGAUCGAUCCCCUUACUAAAUGUAAAACUUGAUACUAAAAAAAGUAAUGGGAUGCGACUACGGCGAAGGAUAUGGAUAGGUACG
rnacentral:lncRNA from 1 species